rnacentral:rRNA from 1 species
GAUGAACGCUGGCGGCGUGCCUAAUACAUGCAAGUCGAGCGAACAGACGAGGAGCUUGCUCCUCUGACGUUAGCGGCGGACGGGUGAGUAACACGUGGAUAACCUACCUAUAAGACUGGGAUAACUUCGGGAAACCGGAGCUAAUACCGGAUAAUAUAUUGAACCGCAUGGUUCAAUAGUGAAAGACGGUUUUGCUGUCACUUAUAGAUGGAUCCGCGCCGCAUUAGCUAGUUGGUAAGGUAACGGCUUACCAAGGCAACGAUGCGUAGCCGACCUGAGAGGGUGAUCGGCCACACUGGAACUGAGACACGGUCCAGACUCCUACGGGAGGCAGCAGUAGGGAAUCUUACGCAAUGGGCGAAAGCAUGACGGAGCAACGCCGCGUGAGUGAUGAAGGUCUUCGGAUCGUAAAACUCUGUUAUUAGGUAAGAACAAAUGUGUAAGUAACUAUGCACGUCUUGACGGUACCUAAUCAGAAAGCCACGGCUAACUACGUG